AUGAAACUGGGCGGCGGCCAGGCCUGCUGGCUUGUGACUCCCCGUCUGCCUGCUCACCGCUGGGCCCCAGGGCUCAGGUCUCUGCUAGGAACCAGCUCUGCCUCCGACCCGCACCAUCAGGACCUGCAGCUCUUGCUCCCUGGCAGGUGGAGGAUGCCGGGAGGGGCCCCUGUUGAGGGACGGGAACUACGAAGGCCCCGCACGGCUCAGCCCGCCUGGCAGCACCCUGAGACGCGAGCGUCUGCAGACAGCAGCUGCGCGGGGCUCAGAACAGCAAUGGCUGCAGAGCUCUCACACCUUCCUGCCUCCCCUCUGCCGCCACGUCUGCGUGGCUCAGCACGGCCAAGGAGAGUCCCUUUGGCUGGCCUCGGGGCCCUGGUUCCAAGAAGCUCUUGUGCUGCUUGGGCCGUGGCUGUGAAGGGCACGCCCUUUGCAAAGCAGAAGGUGACAUUUUUCUGGUGCACACGUAGGAGACUUCUGAGUUUUAUCUUCCUACGAGGCUUCUUCAUUGCGUGGGGAAACCCGAGCCGGCGAGCACACAGCAAGUGUGUGCUCUGUGCCGCCCCUGCUUGCUCCCGCUUGGUCAGCUCUGGGGCUGGUCAUCCAAGGCCAAGGGCAGGGUCAUCUAAUGCUAACUGGACUCUGAGGGGAGGCUGGCAUGUUCCAUUUGCACACACUGCCGUCACGCAUGGGCACCCUGGGUCAGGGAGAAGCCUAGUGGCCGGGCCCCCGCAAACUGCUGGGGCUCCCUGGGCCAUGCUGGGAAGCCCCUCUAACCAUCUGCUUUUCUCGCGCUCUCCUCUCUCCUCUCUCCACCUCUCCCCUCCCCAGCCCUCCCUUCUCUUCUUUCACCCCCCCUUCUCUCCUCCCCUCUUUCUCUCUCUCUGUCCCCCCCCCCCUCCUCUUCUUCCUAAGGCAGAGACCAUCUGCUGGCUCACUCCCCCCAGUGACCACAAUGGCCAGACCUGGGCCAGGCCAAAGCCAGGAGCCUGGAACUCCAUCCACGUCUCCCACCAUCUUCCGCUGCUUUCCCAGGCUCCUGAGCAGGGAUCUGGAUGGGAACUGGAGCCGCCAGGACAUGAACCAGUGCUCAUGUGGGAUGCUGGCAUUGCGGGCAGUGGCUUAACCCACUGGGCCACAGCGCCAGCCCCCAUCUAG
rnacentral:lncRNA from 1 species